UGUUCCUACGGGACGCAGCAGUGAGGAAUAUUGGUCAAUGGCCGCAGGGCUGAACCAGCCAAGUCGCGUGAGGGAUGACGGUCCUAUGGAUUGUAAACCUCUUUUGUCAGGGAGCAAAGGGCGCCACGUGUGGCGUUUUGCGAGUACCUGAAGAAAAAGCAUCGGCUAACUCCGUGCCAGCAGCCGCGGUAAUACGGAGGAUGCGAGCGUUAUCCGGAUUUAUUGGGUUUAAAGGGUGCGUAGGCGGAUCGUUAAGUCAGUGGUCAAAUUGAGGGGCUCAACCCCUUCCCGCCAUUGAAACUGGC
rnacentral:rRNA from 1 species